rnacentral:rRNA from 1 species
GGGCCCGCACAAGCGGUGGAGCAUGUGGUUUAAUUCGAUGAUACGCGAGGAACCUUACCAGGGCUUAAAUGGGAGAUGACAGGGGCAGAGACGCCCUUUUCUUCGGACAUCUUUCAAGGUGCUGCAUGGUUGUCGUCAGCUCGUGCCGUGAGGUGUCAGGUUAAGUCCUAUAACGAGCGCAACCCCUACCGUUAGUUGCCAGCGAUUCAAGUCGGGGACUCUAACGGGACUGCCGGUGCAAACCGUGAGGAAGGUGGGGACGACGUCAAGUCAUCAUGCCCCUUAUGUCCAGGGCUGCACGCAUGCUACAAUGGCAAGUACAACGAGUCGCAAUACCGCGAGGUGGAGCAAAUCUCUUAAAGCUUGUCUCAGUUCGGAUAGGAGUCUGCAACUCGACUCCUUGAAGUUGGAGUCGCUAGUAAUCG